UACGGAGGGUGCAAGCGUUGUCCGGAAUCACUGGGCGUAAAGGGCGCGUAGGCGGGCCAGCCAGUCUGUGGUGAAAGCCUCCAGCUUAACUGGAGAAGUGCCGUGGAUACUGCUGGCCUCGAGGAGGAUAGGGGCAUCUGGAACGGUCGGUGGAGCGGUGAAAUGCGUUGAUAUCGACCGGAACUCCGGUGGCGAAGGCGAGGUGCUGGGUCCUUUCUGACGCUGAUGCGCGAAAGCCAGGGGAGCAAACGGG
rnacentral:rRNA from 1 species